UAGUGGCGGACGGGUGAGUAACGCGUGAGCAACCUGCCCCUGUGUGCGGGAUAACGUCCGGAAACGGACGCUAAUACCGCAUAACGCAAUCUGACCGCAUGAUCGGGUUGCCAAAGAUUUAUUGCACAGGGAUGGGCUCGCGUCCGAUUAGAUAGUUGGUGGGGUAACGGCCUACCAAGUCAACGAUCGGUAGCCGGACUGAGAGGUUGAACGGCCACAUUGGAACUGAGAAACGGUCCAGACUCCUACGGGAGGCAGCAGUGGGGAAUAUUGGGCAAUGGGCGAAAGCCUGACCCAGCGACGCCGCGUGAAGGAAGACGGUCCUCGGAUUGUAAACUUCUUUUAUAAGGGACGAAGCAUGACGGUACCUUAUGAAUAAGCCACGGCUAACUACGUGCCAGCAGCCGCGGUAAUACGUAGGUGGCGAGCGUUAUCCGGAAUUAUUGGGCGUAAAGAGUGCGUAGGUGGUAACCUAAGCAGGGGGUGAAAGGCAGUGGCUCAACCAUUGUUAGCCCCCUGAACUGGGCUACUUGAGUGCAGGAGAGGAAAGCGGAAUUCCUAGUGUAGCGGUGAAAUGCGUAGAUAUUAGGAGGAACACCAGUGGCGAAGGCGGCUUUCUGGACUGAAACUGACACUGAGGCACGAAAGUGUGGGGAGCAAACAGGAUUAGAUACCCUGGUAGUCCACACCGUAAACGAUGAGCACUAGGUGACGGGAGAGCAAUCUUUCGGUGCCGCAGUUAACGCAUUAAGUGCUCCGCCUGGGGAGUACGUACGCAAGUAUGAAACUCAAAGGAAUUGACGGGGACCCGCACAAGCAGCGGAGCAUGUGGUUUAAUUCGAAGCAACGCGAAGAACCUUACCAGGACUUGACAUCCUUCUGACAGUUCCUUAAUCGGAAUCUUCCUUCGGGACAGAAGUGACAGGUGGUGCAUGGUUGUCGUCAGCUCGUGUCGUGAGAUGUUGGGUUAAGUCCCGCAACGAGCGCAACCCUUGCCAUUAGUUGCCAUCAUUAAGUUGGGCACUCUAGUGGGACUGCCGGGGAUAACUCGGAGGAAGGUGGGGAUGACGUCAAAUCAUCAUGCCCCUUAUGUUCUGGGCUACACACGUGCUACAAUGGUCGGUACAAAGAGCAGCAAUACCGUGAGGUGGAGCAAAUCUCAAAAGCCGAUCCCAGUUCGGAUUGUAGGCUGCAACUCGCCUACAUGAAGUUGGAGUUGCUAGUAAUCGCAGAUCAGAAUGCUGCGGUGAAUGCGUUCCCGGGUCUUGUACACACCGCCCGUCA
rnacentral:rRNA from 1 species